GACGAACGCUGGCGGCGUGCCUAAUACAUGCAAGUGGGACGCAAGGGAACACACUGUGCUUGCACACCGUGUUUUCUUGAGUCGCGAACGGGUGAGUAACGCGUAGGUAACCUGCCUAUUAGCGGGGGAUAACUAUUGGAAACGAUAGCUAAUACCGCAUAAUAUUAAUUAUUGCAUGAUAAUUGAUUGAAAGAUGCAAGCGCAUCACUAGUAGAUGGACCUGCGUUGUAUUAGCUAGUUGGUAAGGUAAGAGCUUACCAAGGCGACGAUACAUAGCCGACCUGAGAGGGUGAUCGGCCACACUGGGACUGAGACACGGCCCAGACUCCUACGGGAGGCAGCAGUAGGGAAUCUUCGGCAAUGGACGAAAGUCUGACCGAGCAACGCCGCGUGAGUGAAGAAGGUUUUCGGAUCGUAAAGCUCUGUUGUAAGUCAAGAACGUGUGUGAGAGUGGAAAGUUCACACAGUGACGGUAGCUUACCAGAAAGGGCG
rnacentral:rRNA from 1 species